UCCAGCGCACUCACCUAUCCACUAAACAGCAACUUCAACAUUGAAAGGUUUUAUUUGUUUGUUUUUUUAAAAACACCUAAUCUAGGCACAAAUGUAUGAUCAUAUAAUGUAACUAAACCCCCAUUAUUUUUGCCUAGAUUAGGUGUUUAAAAAAAAAAAAAAAAAAAUCUUUCAACAUUGAAGUUGCUGUUUAGUGGAUAGGUGAGUGCGCUGGA